rnacentral:rRNA from 1 species
UCUUCCCUCUGGCGGCGUGCCUAAUACAUGCAAGUCGAGCGAACGGACGAGAAGCUUGCUUCUCUGAUGUUAGCGGCGGAUGGGUGAGUAACACGUGGAUAACCUACCUAUAAGACUGGGAUAACUUCGGGAAACCGGAGCUAAUACCGGAUAAUAUUUUGAACCGCAUGGUUCAAAAGUGAAAGACGGUCUUGCUGUCACUUAUAGAUGGAUCCGCGCUGCAUUAGCUAGUUGGUAAGGUAACGGCUUACCAAGGCAACGAUGCAUAGCCGACCUGAGAGGGUGAUCGGCCACACUGGAACUGAGACACGGUCCAGACUCCUACGGGAGGCAGCAGUAGGGAAUCUUCCGCAAUGGGCGAAAGCCUGACGGAGCAACGCCGCGUGAGUGAUGAAGGUCUUCGGAUCGUAAAACUCUGUUAUUAGGGAAGAACAUAUGUGUAAGUAACUGUGCACAUCUUGACGGUACCUAAUCAGAAAGCCACGGCUAACUACGUG